GACGAACGCUGGCGGCGUGCUUAACACAUGCAAGUCGAACGGAAAGGCCCUGCUUUUGUGGGGUGCUCGAGUGGCGAACGGGUGAGUAACACGUGAGUAACCUGCCCUUGACUUUGGGAUAACUUCAGGAAACUGGGGCUAAUACCGGAUAGGAGCUCCUGCUGCAUGGUGGGGGUUGGAAAGUUUCGGCGGUUGGGGAUGGACUCGCGGCUUAUCAGCUUGUUGGUGGGGUAGUGGCUUACCAAGGCUUUGACGGGUAGCCGGCCUGAGAGGGUGACCGGCCACAUUGGGACUGAGAUACGGCCCAGACUCCUACGGGAGGCAGCAGUGGGGAAUAUCGCACAAUGGGCGGAAGCCUGAUGCAGCAACGCCGCAUGCGGGAUGACGGCCUUCGGGUUGUAAACCGCUUUCGCCUGUGACGAAGCGUGAGUGACGGUAAUGGGUAAAGAAGCACCGGCUAACUACGUG
rnacentral:rRNA from 1 species